UGAAAUUUCGUGCACUUCGGUAAUUGGGCCUCAACAGGCUAAAAUCGGGCCUAAUGGGCUUACGGGCCCAUACGGGUAAAAUAAUAAAAAUAGGCAAUAAGUAUGUUCUGUUAGACUGUAGAAUCGAAACUUCUUAAACCGGUAAACUGGUCAUAAAACUUGAAUUAAAUGGGCUUAAAUUGCUAGUGGACACUGUAGGGCCCAUUAGGGGUUUUAGGGCCCAAUGGCUAAAAUUGUGAAAUUGUG
rnacentral:lncRNA from 1 species